rnacentral:lncRNA from 1 species
AUGCUGAAUCUAUGUCCUUCACUAACUUCUGAAACCAAGAGAUUUUUCUCCGUAGGUCAAAGCCUUUAUAGGUCAAGUCUUUAUAGGACUUCCAGCAAUCUGCUGUACACAUCAGACACUCACGUGAGGCAUUCAGGUGAAAACACCAACAGGAAACUACCUAAAAACCCUGGAAAACGCUGGCGUGCAACCGGGCACCGAGGCUUCCCCCGCGGCGGACAAGGCGCCCCAGAGCUGGCCCCCGAGCGCGGCCCGCGCCCGGGGGACACGCUGGACCAGUGGGUCUCUGCCUUUCUGGUGUACGCCAGCGUGCUGUGCGAGAAGCACCCGGCCCGCUGCGGGGCCAUGUUCAAGUACCUGGACACCAUCCGCAAACUGCACGCCACUUACGGGGGCACCUCGUGGAUGAGCUACGACGAGGACUUCCGGCGGCGGGCAGCCAAGGACCCGACCCUGCCAUGGGGCGACGUGGACCUGGACCUGUGGAUGAAGUGGAUGGCACCCCUCAAGUCGCUCGUCAGCAGGCAUCAGCAUGCCGAGAGCGAGCAGCAGGCCCCGCCGCCGCCCCCGCCAGCCCCGCAGCCACCCCAGAGUCCCAAGCAGGAGGAGAAAAGCCAGACCCCAUGAAAACAGAAGGCCAGUUGGAAGGGCAGUCAGACUAAGUGG